rnacentral:rRNA from 1 species
AGUGAACGCUGGCGGUAGGCCUAACACAUGCAAGUCGAACGGCAGCACAGUAAGAGCUUGCUCUUACGGGUGGCGAGUGGCGGACGGGUGAGGAAUACAUCGGAAUCUACUUUUUCGUGGGGGAUAGCGUAGGGAAACUUACGCUAAUACCGCAUACGACCUACGGGUGAAAGCAGGGGAUCUUCGGACCUUGCGCGAUUGAAUGAGCCGAUGUCGGAUUAGCUAGUUGGCGGGGUAAAGGCCCACCAAGGCGACGAUCCGUAGCUGGUCUGAGAGGAUGAUCAGCCACACUGGAACUGAGACACGGUCCAGACUCCUACGGGAGGCAGCAGUGGGGAAUAUUGGAUAAUGGGCGCAAGCCUGAUCCAGCCAUACCGCGUGGGUGAAGAAGGCCUUCGGGUUGUAAAGCCCUUUUGUUGGGAAAGAAAAGCAGCAGGUUAAUACCCCGCUGUUCUGACGGUACCCAAAGAAUAAGCACCGGCUAACUUCGUG